ACCACAGCCUUAUCAACCUGCAAGACUGGUUGGGCAAGAGUACAGCCCACUGAAGCUAAUCAGGGUUGAGCCUGGUCAGUACCUGGAUUGGAGACCUCCUGGGAAAACUAUGUUGCUGCUGGAA
ensembl:rRNA 5S_rRNA 5S ribosomal RNA